CAACAUUGAAAUCCAAAUUUGGGGGAUGUGUUAUUGUUCUGCAUCAAACAUAUUUAUUGCCACACACACACACACACAUACACUCGCGUAGAUGCUGCCUUUCCAUCUGUUCGCCCUUUACAGCGUUAGUUCUCAUCGACAUUUCAUACCUUCCCUUUACCACCAGGUGGAGCCCUUUGUUUAUGGACAUCUGUCCAUUUCCUUUUUCUCGAAGAUGCUACCAGAUAAAUAGCUCCGGAGUUAAAAUACUGUUGCAAACACGAAGAUUUAACACCCACAGAUAAAAAAGUAAGGCUUUUUUCAGACAUUGGUAUAAUAAACCUUGCCGUAAGAGUCCUCCUGCUUCUAGAUUUAAUAGCUUUACACACUCCUAUUUACAAUUUCUCCACACCAAACAGAAAUAAUACUGUUGUGUGUGCCAUAAACAGUGUUGCUGCAGGUCUGUUUUAUGUAGCACCAUUGUUUUUAUAAUCUCAAUGUUUGGAAAUUUCAGUCAAAUGGCAAAAAAAAAAAUGCUAUCCCCCUGUUUUUCUCAGUCUUAAAAAUAUACACCUCAUUGAGAAGAAAAUGUUUUCCUUCAGACAAAAGAGAGUGGUGAUUCAGCUGUAGGCAAUACAGAGCAAUGUCACAUUCUUCUCUCAGUCAAAUUUAUCUCUCUUCUAUUUGAGAUCCAGUAAAAGUUUAAUGAAAAGGAAUUUCUGAAUGACUGGGUUGAGAAUCUAGCACCUGACCCCACAGAAACCCUUGUCCCAAGUCACUCUUGUUUAUCAACACUAUUCACCAACCACCACCACAACCCUUCACAAAGGAAGAAUCCUCACUGGAUGUGAUGCGGUUCAUUUCAUACAUUUACUCAACAAAUGUGUACUAAGAAGCCCUUCAAGUGGAACAGCUCUAGAUGAGCAAGUUGGUAGGGGAGAAAAAGACUAUCGAAGGAGGUAUAAGGGUAAAAAUCAUUGAAGUUGUAGCAUUAGGAAUAUAACCUUCAGCCUUGGGAGACUCCAGAUGCUAAAGGAAGCAAGUCCGCUUUUCUCUAGUGCCACGGGCUAGGACAGACUGUUUUUGGUAAUGCAGCUGAUGAAGAUGAUGAGCUGAUGAUGGAGGAGACGGUGGUGACCAGCCAGAAGGUGAUCACUGGAGCUGCAAACAAUUCUUUAUAUUUAGUUUAUUAUUUAACUGGCACACAAACCUGUUAAGUAGGAAACUGAGACUCAAAGAGGUUAAGUAACACCUAGUUUUCAAUAAAUGGGAGAAUGUGGAUUCCAACUUCAGUCAUCUGCUUCUGAAGCCCCCGGGACUAUAUGGCCUCUCUCACAUGGUCUAAUGGCUUAUAUUUGUGAGGCCAUUUAAUUUUCAAGUCAAAAUUUGGUGAUUUUCAUUCACACAUGUGAGAGUUGCAUGACUAUUUUUGAAACCAGAUCUGGAAGCCCAUUAAGAUAGUCUUUUAAAUACCUAUUUAAAUGCAACAGUCACAAGUGCGGUCUAAAUACGAGUAAUAUUUGACGGGCUCCAAAUCUCAUUCUUCAUAUUCUCUUUAUAUCAGACCUCUUCAAGAGGUGCCACAGAUAUCAUGCUUCAGAUCCAAAAGGUGCUGCUCUCGAGGGCAUUAUGCUAUGUGAAAUGAGUCAGAGAAAGACAAUACAGUAUGAUCUCACUUAUACGUGGAAUCUAAAAAAUAACAAACUCAAAACAGAGAUCAGAUUUGCACUUGCCAGAGACAGGGGCAGUAGGUGAGGGGAUUGGGUGAAAAUGGUCCAAAGUUACAGUUACUUGCAGUUGUAAGAUCCAUAAGCCCUAGGGAUGCAACGUACAGCAUGCUGACUACAGUUAACAGUACAGUAUCGUAUAUUCAGACAUGGCUAAGAGUAGAUCUUAAAAGGUUCUCAUCACAAGGGAAACAAAUUGUAAUUAUAUGAGGUGAUGAAUGUUAACUAAUCUUUUUUUUGGUAGUCAUUUUGCAAUAUGCAAAUUUGCAAACAUGCAAUUUGCAUUAUAUUGCAUAAUUUGAAUUUAGACAAUGUUAUAUGUCAAUUCUAUCUCAAUAGAACUGGGGAGGGGAAGGUUGCCCUUUCCUCUGUGGACAGUAUUGUCCCAAAGCUGGCCCUGUGGCCACUGUGGCAGUCAUGGAGUCCAUACACGUGACGCUUAGCAAGGAAUGUCCUCAGAGGUCCGGACCCCGGCAGCGAUUGAGGGAGAAUGGGGAGGAAAGGCAAAGCGAGCAAAGCACAGGGUGAAAGAGAGAGAGAGAGAACCCUGCUCGCCUGUCUUCCUCUCCAGUCCCCAGAGCCAGCACCACAGUCACCUCAUAAACAGCCAUUUGUCACCGCCUCCUGGCUGGCCUCCUCCACCAGAGGCUGGCCUUGUCCCAAGCCUCUCAGCAGAGAGCUGCUCCCAGAAGGGGGCAAAUGAGGUGUGUGGAGACAGAAGACCCAGAAGUCUUGGCUUCUGAAACAUUUAAACUCGGGCAAGCCAUGUGCCUCUCUGGGUCCUUCUGUUUCUUCCUCUGUGAAAUGAAAUAAUGAGCAGGUGCCCUGCACCAAGUUGUAAAUAGCUAAUGAGAUCAUGUAUUUUCAAUAGCUUCACUGAGUUGUAAUUGGCAUAUAAAUAAACUGCAUGUAUUUGAGAAAUAAUGCAUUUGAGAGAGCACUUGUAUGGAAUCUAGAAAGGUGGUACCGAUGAUUCUAAACGCAGGGCAGCAAGGAGACACAGACAUAAAGAACAGACAGAAAAACACCAAUACAGUAUACUAACGCAUAUAUAUGGAAUUUAGAAAGAUGGUAACAAUAACCCCCUGUGUACGAGACAGCAAAAGAGACACUGAGUAUAGAACAGUCUUAUGGACUCUGUUGGAGAGGGAGAGGGUGGGAAUAUUUGGGAGAAUGGCAUUGUAAAAUGUGUAAUAUCAUGUAUGAAACAAGUUGCCAGUCCAGGUUCGAUGCACAAUACUGGAUGCUUGGGGCUGGUGCACUGGGAUGACCCAGAGGGAUGGUAUGGGGAGGGAGGAGGGAGAAGGGUUCAGGAUGGGGAGCACAUGUAUACCUGUGGUGGAUUCAUUUCAAUGUUUG
ensembl:lncRNA